rnacentral:rRNA from 1 species
UACGGGGGGGGCAAGCGUUGUCCGGAAUUAUUGGGCGUAAAGAGCUCGUAGGCGGUUUGUCGCGUCUGCUGUGAAAUCCCGAGGCUCAACCUCGGGCUUGCAGUGGGUACGGGCAGACUAGAGUGCGGUAGGGGAGACUGGAAUUCCUGGUGUAGCGGUGGAAUGCGCAGAUAUCAGGAGGAACACCGAUGGCGAAGGCAGGUCUCUGGGCCGCAACUGACGCUGAGGAGCGAAAGCAUGGGGAGCGAACAGG